rnacentral:lncRNA from 1 species
GCGGCCUGCCCCUCAGCCUCCUCCGCGCGGUUACCCCUGUACCCGCCGCCAUCCGUCCUGGCGCUCCGGAUGAGUCAAUGAGGGGCAGGGCCCGAGGAGUGGUCUUCCCAAGAACCCCUGGUGGCCUCCCAAGGCCGGCCUCGUGGGCUGUGCGGCUAUCCUGGAGACAGAUGACAGCUCUCCCUUGGAUGGCUUUGCUGGUUCCGCACCAGCCAGCGCCCCCAUUUUUCCUGCAGCACCCUGAUCUGCACUCCCUGAGGGGCUCCCACUGUCCGCGGUGUGAGGAUGUCCCUGGAAAUUGGUCUUCUGUGACUUUCUUGAUGGGGGCAGAUGAGAUCUUUGUACUGCAUUAAGUGGAUAGCGCUCAGGUCCUUUGGGCUUGGCGCUUUGGCAAUCUCCAGGCAGCUCACUUUGGCCUCUGUUCCUGGAUCCCCUUUGCUCUUUUCUGCGCCUGCAUUCAUAGUCCACUGUGUGCAGAGGCAUGGGAGUUGUCAUGUUGGGAACAUGCUAGACCUCAGUAUCCUUGAGGGAUGCUGCCUUGGGUCUGGAAACUGUUAGAGGAAACCCCAAGAGGUGCAGGCACUGAGCCUCUCAGGACAAUGACCUGGGGUCCCAGCUCCCCUGGAGGGGCCUCCUCAUGAUUGUUUGGGGGUUGAUCACAGACCAAGAGUGACGAGUGAUGUCACCCUGUGACUCAUGGCUGGACCUUCUUGCCCCUAUUGUCUCAGCACAACAUUAUUCGACUUUUCCCUCAGCGUGGGUGGGCAGAGGAAAAGCCCUGUGGCUCUGGGGACUUGGGAUCCAGAGUUGAAGACCCUUCAGCUGGCUCUGCCCUGCCAGUGCCACAGAGUGCCAUGGCCCAGGAAGACAGGUUUUCUUCCAUCUAGGCCAGGCCAUCCAGUGGCCAUCCUCCGUGUCCUCCCGCCUCCUCCUGGUGUGACUUCUGAAAACCAAGAAUUUGUUCCUGUUGACUUUUUCUGUGCUAUGGACCAUUGUCCUCUCACCCACUCAAUAAAUCUUGAAACAUGCCCUGCU